CAGCAGCCACGGGAAUACGUAGGGUGCAAGCGUUAAUCGGAAUUACUGGGCGUAAAGCGUGCGCAGGCGGUUCUAUAAGACAGAUGUGAAAUCCCCGGGCUCAACCUGGGAACUGCAUUUGUGACUGUAGAGCUGGAGUACGGCAGAGGGGGAUGGAAUUCCGCGUGUAGCAGUGAGAUGCGUAGAUAUGCGGAGGAACACCGAUGGCGAAGGCAAUCCCCUGGGCCUGUACUGACGCUCAUGCACGAAAGCGUGGGGAGCAAACAGGAUUAGAUACCCCAGUAGUCCCUGUCUCUUAUAC
rnacentral:rRNA from 1 species